GGCUAACGCUGGCGGCGUGUCUUAGCCAUGCAAGUCAAGCGGACUUAUGGGGUAACUUAUAAGUCAGCGGCGGACGGCGGAGUAACACGUAGCUAACCUACCCUCUGGACGGGGGAUAACCUACCGAAAGGUGGGCUAAUACCCGAUGUAGUCAUCCUGUAUAGGGGUGAUGAAAGGUGGGCUUCUGUUUACAAGCUCAUGCUGGAGGAGGGGGCUGCGGCCUAUCAGGUAGUUGGUAGGGUAAUAGCCUACCAAGCCGAUGACGGGUAGCCGGCCUGAGAGGGUGACCGGCCCGAGGGGCACUGAGAUACGGGUCCCACUCCUACGGGAGGCAGCAGGCUAGAAAUUUGGGCAAUGGGGGAAACCCUGACCCAGUGACGCCGCGUGCAGGAAGGAGCCCUUCGGGGUGGUAAACUGCUGUCGUGUAGGGAGAAGGGUACUAAGGUGAACAAUCUUAGUACUUGACGGUACUACAGGAGGAAGCCCAGGCUAACCUCGUGC
rnacentral:rRNA from 1 species